rnacentral:rRNA from 2 species
UGGGGAAUAUUGCACAAUGGGCGAAAGCUUGAUGCAGCAACGCCGCGUGAGCGAUGAAGGCCUUCGGGUCGUAAAGCUCUGUCCUCAAGGAAGAUAAUGACGGUACUUGAGGAGGAAGCCCCGGCUAACUACGUGCCAGCAGCCGCGGUAAUACGUAGGUGGCGAGCGUUGUCCGGAUUUACUGGGCGUAAAGGGAGCGUAGGCGGACUUUUAAGUGAGAUGUGAAAUACCCGGGCUCAACUUGGGUGCUGCAUUUCAAACUGGAAGUCUAGAGUGCAGGAGAGGAGAAUGGAAUUCCUAGUGUAGCGGUGAAAUGCGUAGAGAUUAGGAAGAACACCAGUGGCGAAGGCGAUUCUCUGGACUGUAACUGACACUGAAGCACGAAAGCGUGGGGAUCAAACAGG